CAGCAGUAGCCGCGGGAAAACGUAGGGUGCAAGCGUUAAUCGGAAUUACUGGGCGUAAAGCGUGCGCAGGCGGUUCUAUAAGACAGAUGUGAAAUCCCCGGGCUCAACCUGGGAACUGCAUUUGUGACUGUAGAGCUGGAGUGCGGCAGAGGGGGAUGGAAUUCCGCGUGUAGCAGUGAAAUGCGUAGAUAUGCGGAGGAACACCGAUGGCGAAGGCAAUCCCCUGGGCCUGCACUGACGCUCAUGCACGAAAGCGUGGGGAGCAAACAGGAUUAGAUACCCCGGUAGUCCCUGUCUCUUAUAC
rnacentral:rRNA from 1 species